GUAGGUGGCAAGCGUUGUCCGGAAUUAUUGGGGCGUAAAGCGCGCGCAGGCGGUUCGUUUAAGUCUGAUGUGAAAGCCCACGGGCUCAACCGUGGAGGGUCAUUGGAAACUGGAGAACUUGAGUACAGAAGAGGAAAGCGGAAUUCCACGUGUAGCGGUGAAAUGCGUAGAGAUGUGGAGGAACACCAGUGGCGAAGGCGGCUUUCUGGUCUGUAACUGACGCUGAGGCGCGAAAGCGUGGGGAGCAAACAGGAUUAGAUACCCUGGUAGUCCACGCCGUAAACGAUGAGUGCUAAGUGUUAGGGGGUUUCCGCCCCUUAGUGCUGCAGCUAACGCAUUAAGCACUCCGCCUGGGGAGUACGGCCGCAAAGGCUGA
rnacentral:rRNA from 1 species